CCUACGGGGAGCAGCAGUGGGGAAUAUUGGACAAUGGGCGAAAGCCUGAUCCAGCCAUGCCGCGUGUGUGAAGAAGGCCUUCGGGUUGUAAAGCACUUUCAGUGGGGAAGAAAGCCUUGGGGCUAAUACCCUCGAGGAAGGACAUCACCCACAGAAGAAGCACCGGCUAACCCCGUGCCAGCAGCCGCGGUAAUACGGAGGGUGCGAGCGUUAAUCGGAAUUACUGGGCGUAAAGCGCGCGUAGGCGGUCUGAUAAGCCGGUUGUGAAAGCCCCGGGCUCAACCUGGGAACGGCAUCCGGAACUGUCAGGCUAGAGUGCAGGAGAGGAAGGUAGAAUUCCCGGUGUAGCGGUGAAAUGCGUAGAGAUCGGGAGGAAUACCAGUGGCGAAGGCGGCCUUCUGGACUGACACUGACGCUGAGGUGCGAAAGCGUGGGUAGCAAACAGGAUUAGAUACCCCGGUAGUC
rnacentral:rRNA from 1 species